GUCCCAGCGUAUACGCUCUGGUGUGCCUACAAUAUAAAAAUCGAAAUUCUUAAAUUGUGUAAUGACACCCCGGGAUUGCGAGGCAAUAUCUCAAUAUAAUAUAAAAUUAUAUAAUCACCCAUCAUCCCAUAUGAAUGAAAAAAUGAAUUUUUCGUUCACUUUCACUUUCAUUACGCCUUUAGGUUUUUAUAAUCCCUAUGACUUGCGUAUAUGCUAGACUUCUUGGUCCGUGUUUCAAGACGGGUCCUAUAAUUACUCAAAUAUAACAUCACGGAUAGGUAUGUGGGCGUUGCAGUUUAAGAACAACUAUAACUAACAAUAUAUAAGUAUACAGUACCAGCAUAAAUAUCUGAGUAACUAUAUGAAAUUUAAAAGAUUUGUUAUAGGCUUAAACGCUCACUAAAAAAAUUACUUUCUCUAGCGUCCCAAUACCCUUUAUAACAUGCCAAAAGGGUGUUGUCAGGACACCAAAAUCUCUAAACUGUUAUACCAUAAAUAAAUUUAUAAAUAUAACAAGGAUUUAGUAGAAAAUUAGGCCUUAGACAACAAUUACCCCAGUGGAUCGUGAUGUGCACCCAAGGGAAGAAGUGCAUGCCUCCGAUUAUAAAUAAACAAAUAAAACAGAGGAGCAUAUAACAUAAAUAUAUACAUAUAUAUAAAAAUAUAAAAUGCAAUAUAAUAUGUAUAUGUCUCGUUUAUAAAAUAAUAUUAUAUCACUGCAUAAACAGUCAUAAUCGGUAUCGAAAGGCAAUUGAAUCUUCCCUAUUCGACAUAAUUCGAGUAUUAUAGGUUUACCCCUGAACAGUUUCACGUACUAUUGAACUCUCUCUUCAAAGUUCUUUUCAACUUUCCCUCACGGUACUUGUUAUCUAUCGGUUUCGCAUUGAUAUUUAGCCUUAGAUGGAGUCUACCACCCACUUAGAGCUGCACUCUCAAGCAACUCGACUCUAAGGAGAUAAUUACCCACCCAAAUAUAUAAAUGGUCAACUACAGGCCUACCACCCUCUAUGGGUGUAUGGCCCCCUUCAAGAAGGACUUGGACACACUUAUAAACAUUUGAGUUAAACGGGUUCUCCUAAACACUACAUUGCCCGACGAUUGUAAUCAACCGUAGGCUUCAGUGCUGGGCUUUUUCCUGUUCGCUCGCCGCUACUUAGGAAAUCCU
rnacentral:rRNA from 1 species